CCCUUAGAUGUUCUGGGCCGCACGCGCGCUGCACUGAUGCAUUCAACGAGUCCAACCUUGACCGAGAGGUCCGGGUAAUCUUUGAAACUGCAUCGUGAUGGGGCUAGAUUAUUGCAAUUAUUAAUCUUCAACGAGGAAUGCCUAGUAAGCGUGAUUCAUCAAAUCGCGUUGAUUACGUCCCUGCCCUUUGUACACACCGCCCGUCGCUCCUACCGAUUGAGUGUGUUGGUGAGGAGUUUGGAUUGGCCUCGGAAGGUGGUUCGCCACCGUCCGUAGCUGAGAAGUUCUCCAAACCGCCCCACUUAGAGGAAGGAGAAGUCGUANCA
rnacentral:rRNA from 1 species